GUUUAAGGCAAGUAAACUUCAUAAUUUCAUGUUAUCAGUUGUUGUUUUUUUACUAAGAGUAAAAUAAUGUUUGUUUUUUGUUUUUGUAGAUGUUAAAAGCAAGAGACAUGGGAGAUCAUCAUUCCCUUGAGAUUUUAUAACUCAAACCAACUUUGGAGUUGUCUGAUUUGGAGAGUCAUUAUUCUUGGUCUUCGCUCUUAGAGGCCACUGAUGAAGAACAGGCGGUGACUGGGAUGAAUGCUGGUCAGAGAGGAGAAUCUUCUUUCCCCUAAACUGAUGCAGCGGUGGUUUUAAAGGAGGACGCUGCCCUGGAUGAUGUAGAAGAUGUCACAUGCUGUGCUGAUGGGGUUUCUUUAUGAUUACAUCAGUUAUGCUAAAGAGAUCAUGAAAAUUGACCGUGAUGCAUGAUCUGUAUUCAUGGACUAUGAAACAAACUGUAAGUCUAUAAUUUGUUAAAAAAAAAAAAAGUUAAAUGCUUUUUCUG